rnacentral:rRNA from 1 species
CCGGGGCGGGCGGCCUACACAUGCAGUCGAGCGCGCCUUCGGGUGAGCGGCGGACGGGUUAGUAACGCGUGGGAACGUGCCCUUCUCUACGGAAUAGCCUCUGGAAACGGAGAGUAAUACCGUAUACGCCCUUUGGGGGAAAGAUUUAUCGGAGAAGGAUCGGCCCGCGUUAGAUUAGGUAGUUGGUGGGGUAAUGGCCUACCAAGCCUACGAUCUAUAGCUGGUUUUAGAGGAUGAUCAGCAACACUGGGACUGAGACACGGCCCAGACUCCUACGGGAGGCAGCAGUGGGGAAUCUUAGACAAUGGGGGCAACCCUGAUCUAGCCAUGCCGCGUGAGUGAUGAAGGCCUUAGGGUCGUAAAGCUCUUUCGCCUGUGAUGAUAAUGACAGUAGCAGGUAAAGAAACCCCGGCUAACUCCGUGCCAGCAGCCGCGGUAAUACGGAGGGGGUUAGCGUUGUUCGGAAUUACUGGGCGUAAAGCGCGCGUAGGCGGAUUAGAAAGUUGGGGGUGAAAUCCCGGGGCUCAACCCCGGAACUGCCUCCAAAACUGCUAGUCUAGAGUUCGAGAGAGGUGAGUGGAAUUCCGAGUGUAGAGGUGAAAUUCGUAGAUAUUCGGAGGAACACCAGUGGCGAAGGCGGCUCACUGGCUCGAUACUGACGCUGAGGUGCGAAAGUGUGGGGAGCAAACAGGAUUAGAUACCCUGGUAGUCCACACCGUAAACGAUGAAUGCCAGUCGUCGGAUAGUAUACU